rnacentral:rRNA from 1 species
CAAUAGCGUAUAUUAAAGUUGUUGCGGUUAAAAAGCUCGUAGUUGGAUUUCUGUUGGGAACGACCGGUCCGCCCAUUGGGUGUGUAUCUGGCUUGUUCUCGGCAUCUUCUUGGUGAACGUUGCUGCACUUGACUGUGUGGAGCGCUACCCAGGACUUUUACUUUGAGGAAAUUAGAGUGUUUCAAGCAGGCAUAUGCCUUGAAUACAUUAGCAUGGAAUAAUAAGAUAGGACCUCGGUUCUAUUUUGUUGGUUUCUAGAGCUGAGGUAAUGAUUAAUAGGGAUAGUUGGGGGCAUUCGUAUUUAACUGUCAGAGGUGAAAUUCUUGGACUUGUUAAAGACGGACUACUGCGAAAGCAUUUGCCAAGGAUGUUUUCAUUGA